GUCUACGGCCAUACCACUUAGAAAGCACCGGUUCUCGUCCGAUCACCGAAGUUAAGCUCAGUAGGGCGCGGUAAGUACU
rnacentral:rRNA from 1 species